UUUUUUUUCUUUUUUUAACAAAUUUAUUUAUUUAUUUUUGGCUGCGUUGGGUCUUCGUUGCUGCGCGUGGACUUUCUCUAGUUGCGCUUCACGGGCUCAUACCUCUGUGAAGAACAAGGCCCGUGAGCCCACAGGCAGAUUGGGGUACAAAACUGAAUGCCGUUACUUUGGCCAUGGGAGUGAGCCAUGGUGGACAUCCAGCCCAGAUGACCCACCAGUGGCUGCAGCCCCAGUCACUACCUGACUGCAAUUCUAUGAGAGACCCCAAAUGAGAGCCACCCAGCUGAGCCCAAUCAAACCACAGAA